rnacentral:tRNA from 1 species
GGGCCCUUAGCUCAGCUGGUUAGAGCACCUGACUCAUAAUCAGGGGGUCGUGGGAUCGUGCCCCUCAGGGCCCACUA